AGAGUGAACGCUGGCGGUAGGCCUAACACAUGCAAGUCGAACGGCAGCACAGUGGUAGCAAUACCAUGGGUGGCGAGUGGCGGACGGGUGAGGAAUACAUCGGAAUCUACCUUUUCGUGGGGGAUAACGUAGGGAAACUUACGCUAAUACCGCAUACGCCCUUUGGGGGAAAGCCGGGGAUCGCAAGACCUGGCGCGGAUAGAUGAGCCGAUGUCGGAUUAGCUAGUUGGUGAGGUAAUGGCUCACCAAGGCGACGAUCCGUAGCUGGUCUGAGAGGAUGAUCAGCCACACUGGAACUGAGACACGGUCCAGACUCCUACGGGAGCAGCGAGUGGGGAAUA
rnacentral:rRNA from 1 species